rnacentral:tRNA from 5 species
GGCAGGUUGCCCGAGCGGCCAAAGGGAGCUGACUGUAAAUCAGCCGGCAUUGCCUACGCAGGUUCGAAUCCUGCACCUGCCA